rnacentral:rRNA from 1 species
CCUACGGGCGGCAGCAGUGAGGAAUAUUGGUCAAUGGUCGGGAGACUGAACCAGCCAAGCCGCGUGAGGGAUGAAGGUACAGAGUAUCGUAAACCUCUUUUGUCAGGGAACAAAGGCGGGGACGUGUCCCCGGAUGAGUGUACCUGAAGAAAAAGCAUCGGCUAACUCCGUCCCAGCAGCCGCGGUAAUACGGAGGAUGCGAGCGUUAUCCGGAUUUAUUGGGUUUAAGGGGUGCGCAGGCGGUCUGUUAAGUCAUCGGUCAAACCCCGGGGUUCAACCCGGGCCCGCCGUUGAAACUGGCAGGCUCGAGUUGGAGAGAAGUAUGCGGAAUGCGCGGUGUAGCGGUGAAAUGCAGAGAUAUCGCGCAGAACUCCGAUUGCGAAGGCAGCAUGCCGGCUCCACACUGACGCUGAGGCACGAAAGCGUGGGUAUCGAACAGGAUUAGAUACCCUUGUAGUC